CGGGGUGUAGCUCAGAUGGCUAGAGCGUCAGGCUGGGGGUCUGAAGGCCGCGGGUUCAAGUCCCACCACCCCGACCA
rnacentral:tRNA from 5 species